rnacentral:rRNA from 1 species
UUUUAUGGAGAGUUUGAUCCUGGCUCAGGAUGAACGCUGGCGGCGUGCCUAAUACAUGCAAGUCGAGCGAACAGAU